CCCCCUCAGCUAAAGCUGCCAUCGACUGGUUUGAUGGUAAAGACUUCAAUGGAAAUCCCAUCAAAGUUUCCUUCGCCACCCGCAGAGCUGACUUUGGAGGCCGGGGGGGAAUGAGGGGAGGUCGCGGACGAGGAGGGCCCAUGGGCCAUGGAGGAUUUGCGGGGGGUCGAGGGGGAGGUUUCCCAGGAGGCAACAGCGGCAUAGCGGCAG